AUAGGUCAAAGGUGUAAGUGCAGCAAUGCAUGUAGCUUAUUGAUACUAAUAGAUCGAGGACUUGACCAA
rnacentral:rRNA from 1 species